rnacentral:lncRNA from 1 species
AUUUCAAUAUUUAUUAAUAGCAAACUAGGGCAGCAAUUAACUAUAUUAUAAAGCUAUGUCCGGUUUGUUUUGAAUCUCACUUCAAACGUAAAAUAUCGCACUGAUUACGUUGAACAAAAUAAAAUCUAAUAAAUGAAUGCGGUGAUUAAUAUUAUUUACCAUAACACAUAAAUAUAAUAGAAAAGAAGUCAACACAUUUGACAAAAUCCGAUGAGAAUUACAA